rnacentral:rRNA from 1 species
UACGUAGGGGGCAAGCGUUGUCCGGAUUUAUUGGGCGUAAAGAGCGUGUAGGCGGCCUGACAGGUCUGCUGUGAAAACUCGAGGCUCAACCUCGAGACGUCGGCGGAAACCAUCUGGCUAGAGUCCGGAAGAGGAGAGUGGAAUUCCUGGUGUAGCGGUGAAAUGCGCAGAUAUCAGGAAGAACACCCGUGGCGAAGGCGGCUCUCUAGUACGGUACUGACGCUGAGACGCGAAAGCGUGGGGAGCGAACAGG